CAGCAGCCACGGUAAUACGGAGGGAGCUAGCGUUGUUCGGAAUUACUGGGCGUAAAGCGCGCGUAGGCGGUUACUCAAGUCAGAGGUGAAAGCCCGGGGCUCAACCCCGGAACUGCCUUUGAAACUAGGUGACUAGAAUCUUGGAGAGGUCAGUGGAAUUCCGAGUGUAGAGGUGAAAUUCGUAGAUAUUCGGAAGAACACCAGUGGCGAAGGCGACUGACUGGACAAGUAUUGACGCUGAGGUGCGAAAGCGUGGGGAGCAAACAGGAUUAGAUACCCGCGUAGUCCCUGUCUCUUAUAC
rnacentral:rRNA from 1 species